rnacentral:misc_RNA from 1 species
CCCUGAGGGGUAAAAUUUUAAAUAUAGAAGUGUUCGGAUGUGAGCGCCAUCCACGUCAGCAUCUGUUAGGAUAAUGAUCUUAUGAUAACGUAGAGCAUCCUUCUUAAAAUCCUCUCCCUUUACUCCAAGUCCAAGGCCAAGUAUAAGAUUUUGAAUCUCCUCAUUUUUGUACAUCGCCGCCUCAUCUUUUCUUUCUAUAUUUAAAAUUUUACCCCUCAGGG